UGGGUAACCCGCCUCAAAGAGGGGAAUAGCCUCCCGAAAGGGAGAUUAAUACCGCAUAAUAUGUUUAGGUCGCAUGACUUUAACAUCAAAGGAUUUUCUUUUAGAAAUUCCACUUUGAGAUGGACCCGCGGCGCAUUAGCUAGUUGGUGAGGUAACGGCUCACCAAGGCAACGAUGCGUAGCCGACCUGAGAGGGUGAUCGGCCACAUUGGAACUGAGACACGGUCCAGGCUCCUACGGGAGCAG
rnacentral:rRNA from 1 species